rnacentral:lncRNA from 1 species
UUUAGAGAUACGUCUUUCAAAAAGUUAAAGUGGUGCCAGCAUAAGACAGUUACUUUGUUUUACGCUUUGAUUUUUAUUUUAUAAGAAAUUUGGUGACAGGCAAUGGUUAUUUGUGUUGUCUUAAUACAUUUAGUUAUAAUGUCAUUAGGGAUCCUUUUUUUAACUUUUGCUAAUCCUAUGUUGGUGACGUGAUGAUUAGAUUGCUCCUUUGUAUAUUGGGAUGCUCCUCUGAGGGUUUGGAAAUGAAGGUAGCUGUUCUUGAAAUCUAUUUUAUUUUCUUAUGUAACCACCCUUGAAUUGAAGAAAAAAUUGCAUAGAAAUGAUUGAGAAAAAAAUAUAUUAGGUCCAUGAGCUCCACCUUUCCAAACAC